UGACGUUCGGACGUACAUAUGGAGUAUGCGAAGAAGUGUGAAUAAGAAGACGGCUGUACAAGUAAGACUAUAUAUCAUGAGUUUAUUCAUCACAGCGGCGCUGCUGAAGUGGUGGGCGGAGCUCGUUCUGGUGGAGCUGUUGGUGCCUUUUUUAAACUAAUGUGUUUCUUUAUCUACUUUUUGAGCGUCGUGAUCGAUACUGUAUUGUGCUACCAUGUUGUUGAAGCAAAUUACGUGCUUUUUGGUGUUGUUUAAUCAUUAUUUUGGAUCACCGCCUGAGUCAAGGAUCACCCACUACACAAACGAACUGCUAGGCUAGUUAUGCAGGAGCAAAGACGUUGCACCCCACCGCUGCCAGACAAACACAAGUGGCCUAAGAUCUUAAAACGCAGAAAGAGAGAGAAAGCAGGAGGAAUCAUGAAACGCCUUAAAAUUAGGAAAAGUAGACCUUAAAUCCCAUCUAUUAUUAUUGGAAACGUGCAGUCACUGGACAACAAAAUGGACGAACUAAGGGCAAACGUGCGAUACAUGAACAAAUUUCGGAAAGUAGUCUCAUGACUUUUCGCACGUAGUUUUCACGUAAAUGGCGAUUUUAAUCACUGUAAUCGAAGGAAAAGUAGUGUUUAUUACUACCAAUAUGUCAGCUGUGCGACCAGGAAUGCCAGUCAACCACAGCUUUAUUACUCGAAUGUAAAGAACGCAUAUAUGUGUCAACCAAGCUACCUUGUCUCAGCAAUCAUAACCUCGUACUGCUAAGUAGCAAAUACUUACCGUUGAGUAGGAUGCAAAAACCAAAGAAAAUCAUUGUUAAACAAUGGACAGAUGAAUCUAUACAGCGCUUACAAGGUGCUUGGAGUGUACAGACUGGGACAUGUUUAAAGAAAAGUGUAAAGAUCUUAACGAUCUCACUCAAACAUGUUGUGACUAUAUUGAUUUCUGUUGUGAAAUUAGAAUUCCCAAAAUAAUUGUUAAAAGUUUUCAGUAACAAUAAACCAUGGAUUACUAAAAAUGUUCAUUCAAGCCAUUAUUAAAAGGAAGAAAGUAGCCUUUAAUAAAAAUGAUAGAAAUAAACUUAAAGAUAUCCAAAAAGAUCUUAAAACUUUUAUACGUAGAGAAAAAAAAUAAUUACAGAAUGAAAGUAGAAAAUCAUUUUACAGAAAAUAACAUGAAAAUGGUAUAGAAUUGCAUGCGCUUGAUGAGUGGUUUUAUGCAUAAAGAUAAGAGUAAUAAAGUAAAAUGUUUUCCUGA